rnacentral:rRNA from 1 species
CCUACGGGAGGCUGCAGUAGGGAAUCUUUCACAAUGGGCGAAAGCCUGAUGGAGCAACGCCGCGUGCAGGAUGAAGGCCUUCGGGUUGUAAACUGCUUUUAUAAGCGAGAAAUAUGAUGGUAACUUAUGAAUAAGGAUCGGCUAACUACGUGCCAGCAGCCGCGGUCAUACGUAGGAUCCGAGCAUUAUCCGGAGUGACUGGGUGUAAAGAGUUGCGUAGGUGGCAUAAUAAGUAGCUAGUGAAAUCUGGUGGCUCAACCAUUCAGACUAUUAGCUAAACUGGUAAGCUCGAGACAGUUAGGGGUAACUGGAAUUUCUAGUGUAGGAGUGAAAUCCGUAGAUAUUAGAAGGAACACCAAUAGCGUAGGCAGGUUGCUGGGACGGUUCUGACACUAAGGCACGAAAGCGUAGGGAGCAAACGGGAUUAGAUACCCGAGUAGUC